AUGCGGGCCAGCCUCGACAUGCGGGUCCCUCCAGGCGGCACGCGGUACGGCGCUCGUCCUGUCACGUAUCAGCGGCGCCAAUCAGGGCGGGCCAGUGCGGACGUGGGACCCGGAGCCGGUCCUGCAGCUGGUCCCGCUGGCACGGAUAAGCCAACCGGCGCGCCGACCCGCUCCACUGCAUCAUCAUUGCGCCAUGAUGAGCGGGCCCCCGCCACGGGAUCUUUUGCACCAGUUUUUGAAGAGGCGUCUCAGCCAGCGACCACAGAAGAUCCGACCGGUUCUGCGCGCGCUGGAGCCGCUGCGACAGCUGCUGCUGGGUCUGCGGCAGGAUCCCCCUCGGGAUCUGUUGCUGAUCUGUCCAGGCAGCCCUUUGGAUCUUCUGCGGCUGCGGAUUCUGCUGCACCAUCAUCACGACGAACACGGCUUCAACAAGGGCUAAUUCAACCUUUAAAUUAUAAACAUGUAACCAAAUACGGUUUGGUCUGUUCUACAGGAGAACCAGAUGAGCCAGCAACCCUUGAUGCAGCACUUCGUGAUGACAAGUGGAAAAAGGCAAUGAAUGAAGAAUACAUGGCGUUAAAGAAAAACAAGACUUGGCACUUGGUUCCCCCACAGCAAGGUAAAAACUUGAUUGAUUGCAAGUGGGUUUUCAGGAUCAAGAGGAGGUCUGAUGGAACUAUUGAUCGCUAUAAGGCUAGACUAGUUGCAAAAGGCUUCAAACAGCGGUAUGGUAUAGACUAUGAAGAUACGUUUAGUCAUGUUGUCAAAGCAGCCACUAUUCGUCUCGUUUUGUCCAUUGCUGUUUCCAGGGGAUGGAGUCUCAGGCAGCUUGAUGUACAGAACGCGUUUCUCCAUGGUGUUCUGGAAGAGGAAGUGUAUAUGAAACAACCUCCUGGGUUUGAAAGUAAGAAAACUCCCUCCUAUGUGUGCAAACUUGAUAAAGCUCUAUAUGAAUUGAAGCAAGCUCCAAGGGCGUGGUACUCACGUCUUUGUCAUAAGAUGCAAACACUUGGAUUAUUCCCUCUAAGUCAGACACAUCAUUGUUCAUUUAUAACAAAUCCAAUACAUGCAUAUUUGUUCUCAUCUAUGUUGAUGAUAUAA
rnacentral:rRNA from 1 species